rnacentral:lncRNA from 1 species
CAGCUGCAGUCAAGUGCUGAGACUCCCAAGAGGGAGAAGGUAUGCUCCUACUGUCUAAGAAGGAUUAUGUUAGACUUUGUUAUUUCCUCUUCAGUACUGCUAUUUUGCCUCUAGUAUUUGACAAUGUAGGGAAAAGAGACCAUCAGUGAUGACCCUGGGCAAUUAUGAAAUAACAGCUGUCCAUGGCAUGGCUGGAUUUUGUAAGUUAGACCGUGUAUCACUUCCCCUCCUGAAGAUUCUGUUCUGAUUGUGUUUAUCUUUGCUGUCAUAUCAACAGUAAGAUGUAAGCCUAGUUAUUAAUCAUCUGGCACCUUUUAAAGAGACACAAUCAUCUCACUGUCUAGCUUUUGCUGCUAUUAAGGGCUGAUGCCCGGAUGUGGGAGGUUCUCAAGCAGGUUCUCGCUUAUUGAGUCCGAAUCAGGGAUGUUCAAAUGUUUGCAGACAAGGGCUCAGUCAGACCUGCAGACUGCAGACACCCCUUUACCUGAUCGGAAAGGGGUGGCCCCACCAGUUUCUCCAGGAUUGUGCUGUCUCUUUCAUAUUUCUCCUGGAGGGCCUAGGUAUACAUUGAAAUGUGUCUAGAGCCUAAGAAGUGUGGGGAAACUCAGCUUUAGGCAGUGGUGAGCCUCGCUGAUUCAAAAUAUCUCAGAGCAGAUGAGGGAGUGGGCUUGCUCUCCUUUCUCCCCCUCUGAGGUCCGCUUGUUUCGAAGGUGACUUGGUGUUGUCCAAAUGCGUCCACGCGGAAUGAAUGCUCAGCUGUGUCUGACUCUUUAUGACCCCAUGGACUGUGGCCCUCCAGGGCUCUCUGUCCAUGGAGUUUCCCAGGCAAAACACUGGAGUGGGCUGCCAUUUCCUACUCCAGGGCAUCUUUCCAACCCAGGGAACAAAUCUGCGUCUCCUGCAUCUCCUUCAUUUGCACGUGACUUCUCUACCCCUGAGCCACCUGCUUUCGUCCAAAUGCCAGACAGAAAAUGUGCUGAACGUCAAAAAGAACAGCAAGUGACGCCGGAGCGAGCUUGUGGAAAGGCUGUCUGCAGUGCGUCCAGUGACAUGAGAAAGAAUGCGGGCUAUCACCUCACACCUCCAACAACUGGUUCCAUUUUUACAUCUCUCCUUCCUCGCUCAUUUCUGCUCAGCACCGUCUUUCUGUUUUCAACUCAGGUAAUGUGCUUGUCCUGUACUUCACAAGACUAGCUGGAGGCCUGCCCUUAAGGCUUGCUAGAACUUUCCACUCACUGGAUUCUCUACUUCUCUGCUCUCUCUGAGGCUCUCAAGACCCAAACUCCUCAUGUAGGAAACCACUCUCGUAAAUUAGGCCCCUAGUUUGAUUACUUCUUACUUUCUGUCCCUUGUAAGUUGUUAGUCUAUUGAAAUUUAAGCCUGAACAUCAGUGCAGUGGUUCUGGACUCUGGCUGAACUCUAGAACCACCUGAGGUACCUGAAGAAGCACCAGUGCGUGGACCCCACCCUCAGAGAUUCUGAUACAGUCGGUCUGGGAUGGGACCCUGCAUCAUUUUUUUUUAAGUGCCUCAGGCGUUUUUUAAAUCUGUGGCAAGAAUUCAGAAUUACCCAGUGAGUCCUAUGCCCUCUUGUUAGCCUUAAGGAAGUGGAAUUCCACAAAAUUGAAGUGAUUUGCCUAAGGCAGCGCUUCUGGGAGCACUUCUCGCUUCCUGGGGGCCCCUGUGCCGUGUACCGGUACCUGGGAAGAACCGCUGGCCCAAGGUUACAGCGGAGUGAGUGAUCAGAGCCAGGAAUCUAAUCCAAGGGUCUUGAUUCCUAACCUCCAGUUUGUUCCACUUCACCUCCCCCAGAUGGAGACAUCGUUAUUGGCAAAGGCUUUUGAAAUCAAAAUUGCGGCAAUUGCUUUAAUCUCGAUUCGGGCUCAUUAAAACAACCCCGCUGACUGGAAACACUAGAAAGAAUCUGGGAGGGUGGUAUUUACUCUUGAAAAAUUUUCUUGUUAUGAGUAAACAAGCAAGCCCUCCCAGGUCUUUUUCCUUCAUUUCCCUCCUCGCCAGCCUGUCCCCAUCCCCCCACUGAUAAAAUCUGUCUGUUGGGUUAAUAGUUUUGACUUAAACUUUGUGUCAUCAUUGUGGCACACUUCCACAUUAAAUUAUUAAAAAAAACCUUUUUUUGGACUGAGGUAUCGUUGCUUUAUAAUGUUGUGUUAAUUUCUGCUGCACAGCAGAGUGAUUCAGCUAUGGGUAUGCGUGUAUCCUCUCUUUUGGAUUUCCUUCCUGCUUAGGUCACCACAGAGCAUUGAGUAGAAUUCCUUGUGCUAUACAAUAGGUCCUCAUUGGUUAUCUGUUUUAUUUAGAAUUCCUUGUGCUAUACAAUAGGUCCUCACUGGUUAUCUGUUUUAUACUUCGUACUGUAUAUAUGUAAAUUCCAAUGUCCCAGGCCAUCCCCACAUCAAAAUGUAAUAGUUCAAGAAAUCAGAAAAGUGAAGAAAAAAAUUAGGAAAAUACUAAUUGAGAAACUGACAUAUAUUGAAACGUUUGAGAAAGGGCAUUAAUGAUAAUUCACAACAGAGUUUAAGACUUCCAGCAACAUAUGAACUGCCCAACUAAAGUAACUUUGAGACUGUCUAUAAUGGCAACCUGAAGUCUACGUGAAGGUAUUUAGACUUGGAAUAAAAUGUCUGUUUUUAAAUAACCCACAGAAAGUUCAUCAGUAAGAUCACCGUUUAGAAGCAAAUGUAGGCAACUUGCUCAGACAUCCACCAUCCAGACAGAAAGUAGUCCAUUUCCUACUGCUUUUUACCAUUUUUCUUUUGAUGAAAUCAAGGCAAUUUCUGCAUUCAUAUGCGAUGACUUGAUUUUUUCCUUUAUCGCUUCCAUCUGGGUAGUCACGGAAGUUUUAGCUGGACGAGCAUUAAGUUUUUAACAUGGGUACACGGCAUAUUCACAUACAAAAGAAAGAUCUAUCUGUUAGGCUCAGCGUCAAUACGGUUGGAUUGUUCUUGUUGUUCAGUCACUAAGUCAUGUCCAGCUCCUUGUGACCCCGUGAACUGCAGCACUCCAGGCUUCCCCGCCCUUCACUAUAUUCCAGAGCUUGCUCAAACUCAUGCCCAGGAAGUCAGUGAUGCCAUCCAACCAUCUCAUCCCCUGUCCUUCUCCUUCUCCUCCUGCCCUCAGUCUUUCCCAACAUCAGGGCCUUUUCCAAUGAGUCAACUCUUUGCAUGAAGUGGCCAAAAUAUUGGAGUUUCAGCUUCAGCAUCAGUCCUUUCAAUGAAUAUUCAGGACUGAUUUCUUUUAAGAUGGACUGGUUGGAUCUCCUUGUAGUCCAAGGGACUCUCGAGAGUCUUCUCCAGCACCACU